rnacentral:rRNA from 1 species
CGUACACUCCUACGGGAGGCAGCAGUGGGGAAUAUUGGACAAUGGGCGCAAGCCUGAUCCAGCCAUGCCGCGUGAGUGAUGAAGGCCCUAGGGUUGUAAAGCUCUUUCACCGGUGAAGAUAAUGACGGUAACUGGAGAAGAAGCCCCGGCUAACUUCGUGCCAGCAGCCGCGGUAAUACGAAGGGGGCUAGCGUUGUUCGGAUUUACUGGGCGUAAAGCGCACGUAGGCGGACUAUUAAGUCAGGGGUGAAAUCCCGGGGCUCAACCCCGGAACUGCCUUUGAUACUGGUAGUCUUGAGUUCGAGAGAGGUGAGUGGAAUUCCGAGUGUAGAGGUGAAAUUCGUAGAUAUUCGGAGGAACACCAGUGGCGAAGGCGGCUCACUGGCUCGAUACUGACGCUGAGGUGCGAAAGCGUGGGGAGCAAACAGGAUUAGAAACCCUAGUAGUCCCA